CCUGGAGUUGGGCGGGGUGGGAGUAAGGUGCCCCGCUACCGCUUCGCCCUCCCAAGCCAGGAGCCACCACCGCAGGUCAGUGCAUCUGGGGCCUUCCCUUGGAGCGCCAGUUCCUCUCGAGGCACCCCCAGGACCCUUUCCAAAGCCCUGAAAUCUGCCCCCGCCCACACGGGAACUCCGGGACUUCCCUUCCCAGGCCUGGUCUGCGCCCGGCCCGCGCGUGUACCCGCCCCUGCUGAACCCCGUCUGCGGGUGGAAAGCGGAGAUGGCCCUGAAGCUGGCUCCCUGCCCCCGGCCACCCACCCCGCACGGGGCCGGGAAGCGGCUGUUUGUUUUCCCGGCGCCCGGGAUACGGACGGGCCCCGCCCCAGGCCUGCUGCCCGGCGGUGCGAGGCGGAGGGGCCGCGGCCGCCACCAUCUGUCCACAGGUGCUGCAGGCUCUGAGCGCCCCCGCCCGCGUCAUGGGCUCGGACUACUGGGUCGGCCCUUGGCGGCCGCACCGGCCCCGUGGCCCCAUCGCGGCGCUCUAUAGAGGACCGGGGCCCAAAUACAAGCUGCCGCCGAACACCGGCUACAUCCUGCACGACCCCUCGCGGCCCCGCGCCCCCGCCUACACCUUCGGUGCGCGCCUCCCUACGCAGCAGUCCACCUGCGGCCCGGGGCCCAGCCACCUGGUGCCCGCCCGCAUGACCGCGCGCGGCCCGGACAGCGCGCCCGCCUACUCCAUCUGCGGCCGCCUGCGGCACUCGGCGCCCUUCCGCACUCCCGGACCGGGUCAGGACCCCUGGGACCCUGGCCUCCCCAACGCCAAGCUCCCUCCGGGGAGGCCCAUCUGGGAACCCCGCGCAACUGAACCCCGAAUCUCCCUCUGUUCCCUAACACCUCGUAUUCCGGACCUCGAGUCCAGAUCCCCGAGCCCCACAGGCUUUGGCCGUGGUUCUGAUUCCCCAGCUCCAAGACCCGGACCCGGGUCCACCACGCCCCCAUCCGGUCCUGGCCCACACCCUCGGUCUGUCCCGCAGGCCGGUAUUUCCCAGAACGAGCCGGCAACGCCACGUACCCCAGUGCGCCGCGUCAUACCAUUGCCCCGCGAAACUGGGGUGUCCGCGCGGAGCAGCAGAGCCCAGGUCCGGGAGCCUACUCUGUGCCCGCGCUCUUGGGCCCACGCGUCGUCGGCAAAGUCUCGGCCCCAACCUACUCCAUCUACGGCCGCAGCACAGUGGGCAGCUGCUUCCAGGACCUUAGCAAGACCCCCGGCCCCUGCGCCUACCAUGUGGUGAACCCCGGGGUCUACAAGACCCGCGCGCCCCAGUUCACGAUGCUGGCGCGAACGUCGCUCCCCCAAGACAGCACUCUGAAGCCGGGACCCGCGGCCUACCACGUGGACCAGCACCGGAAGCCUCGCGGCUGGACCUUCGGGAUCCGGCAUUCAGACUACCUGGCCCCGAUGGUGACGGACGUGGACGACUGACCCGCGGGCGGGGUGGGGGCUCGGGCCCCCUGUAGUGCGCUUAAAGCUUCCGGAGUCAGC